GAUGAACGCUGACGGCGUGCUUAAUACAUGCAAGUCGUGCGCACAGCUGUGCUGCUUCAUCCUAUCCAGUUAGCACCGGUCGGGUACGUAACACGAGGAUACCCUACAUACAAGACUGACAUACCUUCGCGACAGCGGAGAUAAUACCAGAUAAUAUAUACACCCGCAUAGCCUGAUAGUAAAAGACGCUUUUGCUGUCCCUUAUAGCUUGUUACGCGCCGCAUUAGCUAGUUGCUCACGUAACCGCUUAUCAAGGCAACGGUGCGUAGCCGACCUGAGCGGGUGAGCUGCCACACUGGAACUGAGACACGGUCCAGACUCCUACGAGAGGCAGCAGUAGGGAAUCUUCCGCAAUGGGCGGAAGCUUGACGGAGCAACGCCGCGUGAGUGAUGAAGGUCUUCGGAUCGUAAAACUCUGUUAUUAGGGAAGAACAAAUGUGUAAGUAACUAUGCACGUCUUGACGGUACCUAAUCAGAAAGCCACGGCUAACUACGUG
rnacentral:rRNA from 1 species